rnacentral:rRNA from 1 species
AGAAAGAACGCUGGCGGCAUGCCUAACACAUGCAAGUUGAACGGAUAAAGUUUCUAGCUUGCUAGAAAUUUUAUUAGUGGCAAACGGGUGAGUAACACGUAGGAAUCUGCCCUGUAGUACGGAACAACAAUUGGAAACGAUUGCUAAUACCGUAUACGCUCGAAAGAGGAAAGAUUUAUCGCUAUAGGAUGAGCCUGCGCUAGAUUAGGUAGUUGGUAGGGUAAUGGCCUACCAAGCCUAUGAUCUAUAGCUGGUCUAAGAGGACGAUCAGCCACACUGGAACUGAGAUACGGUCCAGACUCCUACGGGAGGCAGCAGUGGGGAAUAUUGGACAAUGGGCGCAAGCCUGAUCCAGCAAUGUCGCGUGAAUGAUGAAGGCCUUAGGGUUGUAAAGUUCUUUCGGCGGGGAAGAAAUUGACGGUACCGCAGAAGAGCUCCGGCUAACUCCGUGCCAGCAGCCGC